CAGUAGCCGCGGGAAUGUGAAGGGUGCAAGCGUUAAUCGGAAUUACUGGGCGUAAAGCGUGCGUAGGUGGUGGUUUAAGUCCGUUGUGAAAGCCCUGGGCUCAACCUGGGAAUUGCAGUGGAUACUGGGUCACUAGAGUGUGGUAGAGGAUAGUGGAAUUUCCGGUGUAGCAGUGAAAUGCGUAGAGAUCGGAAGGAACAUCUGUGGCGAAGGCGACUAUCUGGGCCAACACUGACACUGAGGCACGAAAGCGUGGGGAGCAAACAGGAUUAGAUACCCCUGUAGUCCCUGUCUCUUAUAA
rnacentral:rRNA from 1 species